ACAAGCGAUGCGCUGGAAGCGCUACAGACAACAGGGAUCUCGCAAGGAUAGGCGCCAGGAUGGUGCAUGCUCAUGGAUGGCGAAAAUUCAGUCUGCAAAGCCCCGCGCAAGCGGGGUUUU
rnacentral:sRNA from 1 species